GGUUCAUCUUUUGAGUAUUGUAUAGAGACUGUGAAGUCCAAUUCAAAAAUAGAAGAGAGUAGUUAUGCAACAGGGCCUUCCUCGCCCUCUCCACCUCUUUGCCGUUAGAGCAAGUGAUUCCCACAACGGUAACCAUGCAGGUCUACUCCACAAGCUUGGCCUCUCCGACGCAGAAUGCGAAGCCGCCGUUGUUGCCAGUAACGUCCCGGAGGCACCUCCGAUUCCCCCUAAACCAGCUUCUCUGGUUGGAACUCCCGUCGUCCCUUCACUUCCACUUAACAGGCGUCCUCGACACAACCGGAGGAUGCCGGCGCUGAGGGAAGCUUUUCAGGAGACAACAAUAUCGCCUGCGAAUUUCGUGUAUCCAAUUUUCAUUCAUGAAGGUUGGUCUUGUUUUUACUUGUUUUAUGCAUUGUUCAUGUGUAGUGGAGGUAGUGUAAUAUGCUAUGCUGGAUCUGUUUUGAUUCGUAGCAAUUGAACUUGCAGGUGAGGAGGACACUCCAACUGGGGCUAUGCCGGGAUGCUACAGGCUUGGAUGGAGGCAUGGACUUGUGCAAGAGGUUGUUAUUUACUCUUGUUUCUGUAUCUCCUACUAAAAGUGCUCUAGUAAUCCUCCUUAGCAUUACACUUGAUUAAUUCCCUUUUUAUGGAUUGGCUUUAAUGUUUUCUAGCAUUAUUCAUUUAUUUGAGUUACUUAUCAGAACUUUGAAGCUGUUUAAAUAUGUUCAAGACGUUUAGAUAGAUUUAAUUGUUUCUUUAAAUAUCUAGGCUGGAAGGAACUUGGCUAGUUUUGUUUGGGUAUUCUACUUCCUGUCCUGAAUUUUAUCAUGUUAUUUUAUAGUGUUAAUAGUGUGGUGCUUUUUCCUAAAAUUCCAGAUGCCUUGAAGUCUUCCACAGGGAAUGAAGCAUACAAUGAUAAUGGUUUAGUGCCUCGGUCAAUACGUUUGCUCAAGGAUAAGUUUCCAGACCUUGUAAGUGAACAUAAUUUGAGGUUAAUAUUUUCUGGUGCUAACAUGUGAGUUCAAACAAGAACUAACUAUGUAUUGCAUUACACUAUGAUAUACAUAAUAAAGAACUAUCUUCUAAUGAGCGUUGAAGUCAUACAAAUUAUUGUAGCAUGACUUAUAGGUCAGAGGCUGCUGUCCAUUUGGUACAUUGCGCCAGGCUUGGCGGUGUACAAAUUUCUAAGAUUAAAAUUGACUUUAUGGUCCUAAGAGACCCACAGUACCACGUAUUUGCACUUUUAGGUAUUAAAAUUGACUUUAUUGCUCACAUGAAUUCACACAAGAACGCUAAAAAAUGCAGGUAUACUAAUACUACAAUACAAUACUAUUAGAUAAGAACAUGUAUAUAGUGAAUAAAAAAGUGAUAUGUCUCUUUGUGUGUAUUUUAAUUUGCAGGAUAUGUAUGACAAUUUUAGCCAAAAAAUUGAAGAUGUGAUGACCGCAAAGAUAUGGUUGGAGAAGAGAAAUGUCACGUAUAUAAUUAACAUGUGUUGUUAAUUAUUGCUAUGAAUUGGUGGUGUAGUGGACAUGCUACAAUCUUGCAAAGCUCAAAUGUUGCUUGGGAAUAUAGGGUCAGUGGUCUUUUCUG